rnacentral:tRNA from 1 species
GUCAGUUUGGCCGAGUGGUCUAAGGCGCUUGACUUGAACUUCUGGGGAAACCCUACCAUGUUUGGGCAUCAAGUAUCUUCGGAUGCACAGGUUCGAACCCUGUAGCUGACG